rnacentral:lncRNA from 1 species
AACAGUGGUGGCUCUAACCAUCCUGUGUACUCUCCCUUCAUGGAUGCUGUACUAACAAUGGUCCUGGGAGUAAACACAGCAUUUCUGUUUGAGGCAGGAGCAGUUAUCUUUAGGGUUUUGGUACCACCGCAAGAUGAAAAUACACUCUCUGAUCCCAGGGCUUGUAGGACAGUCCAGUAAAUACUCCGGAGCACCAGAAGCAUAAACACCUGUCAAGAACAAACUAAGCGGAAGCAGAUACCGAGUCCUCAAGGCUGACGUCACCAGAAGGACGUCAUCGUGCCAAUGUUCAGCCCACGUGACAUCACUCCCCAGAGCACCUGUCUGGAAUAUCUAUCCCCAGGUUUAGAGGGAUGUAAACCACUUUUCUAAGAACAAUGAAUGGGUUAUGCUUUGUGUUUCAGUAA